rnacentral:rRNA from 1 species
UGGGGAAUAUUGGACAAUGGGCGAAAGCCUGAUCCAGCCAUGCCGCGUGUGUGAAGAAGGUCUUCGGAUUGUAAAGCACUUUAAGUUGGGAGGAAGGGCAUUAACCUAAUACGUUAGUGUUUUGACGUUACCGACAGAAUAAGCACCGGCUAACUCUGUGCCAGCAGCCGCGGUAAUACAGAGGGUGCAAGCGUUAAUCGGAAUUAAUGGGCGUAAAGCGCGUGUAGGGGGUUUGUUAAGGUGGAUGGGAAAUCCACGGGCUCAACCUGGGAACUGCAUUCAAAACUGACUGACUAGAGUAUGGUAGAGGGUGGUGGAAUUUCCUGUGUAGCGGUGAAAUGCGUAGAUAUAGGAAGGAACACCAGUGGCGAAGGCGACCACCUGGACUAAUACUGACACUGAGGUGCGAAAGCGUGGGGAGCAAACA